CACUUUCGUAUGGCUCUAAGUGGCUAACAAUUGCCGAGAUACUCGUCGGUUGUGGGAGGAGUGGUGGAUAUAAGUGAAUCCCUAAUAUUUUGGGGUAGAGUUGAGGACCAUGUCAAAUCUCAAGCUAUUACUUUAUUGAUGAAUCUCCAAAACCAUCUUUCGGGCACUUCACCGGGACACAUCCCUCUUCUUCCCGGGGAGUAGUCAUCGGUUCAUACAUUUCCUGCGAGAUCAAAGUUCCGCUACUAUUUUGUACCACUGAUAAAACCUAUUUCAAGCAAUAUCGUAUCAUCAUGCGAUGUGCCCUGCCAUUGUUAGCUUCUACACAUUGUAAAUUGAAAUAGAUGUGAGUAAUAGGCUCUUCAUCCCGAGAUGCAAAGCUGUAAACUUUGUUUACAUAAUCAUACAAAAGGAAAAAGAUAUUCAACUGCCAUGAAAGUCCUUUUGAAUUUUGAUAUGGCCUCUUUUUUACUCGUAAGAAAACAAAUUGCUAUGGUUCUUUGUCACUUGCAUAUAUUGUACUACUACAGUUCUGACCAAGAAAUAAGCAGGGAACAAUAUGCAACUUCUAGAAAAGCAUAAUAUUUUUGACAUAUCACGCAGUUGGAACUGUCGAUCAUGGUGGGCAGAAACAGUACAAGCAGCCAUAGGAUCCACAAUCAUUCAACCAAAUUUUUUUUUAUUUUUAUAUUUCAUCUUGUAUUCCGUAUCCGCUUUAAGAAGUAAAAAUUGUUCUCACUAAACUGUUCUUUAUGCUACUAUUGGUAGUUGAUAUAUUGAGUUUCUCCUUCAAAAAGUAUUAGUUUACUCUAUCAUCUAGUAACUGUAACGAUGCACAUAAUAAAUAAUGUGUGAUAUCACAAAAUCGUUUGGGAUGUAUACCUUUAGAAGUAGAAGAAGAAAAAAUAAAUCGAACCAUCCCAGGUGGCUUUCCAAAGAACUAACAGUAGUUGAUUUCUUUGCAGCUGGCAUAAUUUUCCAGGUGUGAAGGAAGAUGUUGAAUCAGAAGCAGACAUACUUGCACCGCUGAGGACUGGCAAAAUCUGAUUGUAUGUAAACUUGACAACUCUUUCUCCUAGAAAGAGUAAAUUCUUCUAUCUAUGCUCUCGAAAGAAAGAUUGGCUUCUCUUUUGUGCUGUGCGUUGUAUUUGUAUAAUUGACGAGAACUAAGUUAUAAACACUCGUUCUUAACUUCUUACCUCUUAUUAUCGUGUACUCUAUUUAAGUAAAACUGAAUAAACUAUGGCCCUACCGAUUUAAACUGUGAUUUAGUUAGUUACCGAACUCAUUAUUCAGUGUGAACUGCCAUCCCACUGCCAAGAUUUGACAUUACCAAGACUGAGGAUAAAACCAAAGUCUGCCUAAAUU
rnacentral:lncRNA from 1 species